UAACCCUACGGGAGGCAGCAGUGGGGAAUAUUGCACAAUGGGCGAAAGCCUGAUGCAGCAACGCCACGUGAAGGAAGAAGGGUUUCGGCUCGUAAACUUCUCUCAACAGGGACGAAAGAAAUGACGGUACCUGAAUAAGAAGCCCCGGCUAACUACGUGCCAGCAGCCGCGGUAAUACGUAGGGGGCAAGCGUUAUCCGGAAUUACUGGGUGUAAAGGGUGAGUAGGCGGCAUAAUAAGUUAGAAGUGAAAUACCCAGAGCUUAACUCGGGGGCUGCUUCUAAGACUGUUGAGCUU
rnacentral:rRNA from 1 species